AUGCCCAAAGCACACUGCAGUAUGUCUAUGGAUGAUGAAACAAUGCAGUUUCCAUUUAAUAAGAAGAUUGUGUUUUCUGUUUUCCAACCUUGUUUUAUAAGGUGGUGUUUUAGCUUGUCACAAUUUUACGCUUAACAAAAUCGCCAUCCUUUUAUUGUAGGUGAGUCUGAAAUAUGAUGCAUUUUUGUAGCCCAUCAUUUGCGAAUUUUUAAACAGUGAGUGAAGGCUCUUUUUAACCCUGAAAAAACUUGGUAUUGAAUCCUUCAAUUUGAUAAAGGGCAUCCAUCAGACAGCAGGCUUUGAUCUUAAAAUUAGAUGAACUUAGAUAAUGUUAGAGUAAUUGUUCUGGACUGCUGAUUUUCACAUUAAAAAUAGCAUAUGGAGACUUUUUCAGCAGAUUUGGUGCAGCUGUUCUGAUACCACUUCAUUAUUGCUUCUUGCACAUAAAGUGCUUCCAGUGCUUGAAUAUGAGCAGACAGAAUGUGCACACAGUAUAAGCAGAACAGAUGUGAGAGUUGUCUCUGUUUUCAGCACACACACCGCCCCACCACCCCGCCAGUCCUGACAGGAAUGAAGAACUGCUUAAGGAGCAGAGAAGUGCAAAAUAAGUUUCUCAGAGAGUAUACUCUGCUAUCCAGUUUGCAUAACUAUACUGUUUUAUUAUGUAUUAACAAAUAAACAGUCUAGUCUGACAAUAUGCUCAAAACCAGCAGGUUGUGGCAGGAACU
rnacentral:lncRNA from 1 species